AACCCUUUACAGGCAAAAGAGAUAUAAAGUACUUCUGUUCUAUUAACUCUUAACUAUCUGUUUAUGACAGCUUCUAACCAGAGUUGGUCAUUUACCUGUAGGAAUCUAGCGGUGCCAGUUAUUACAACUUCACCAGAAGUAUUUACCAUGCAAGGGGAUCAGUACAUCAGAGUUUUCCAGAUUUUACUUUCCUGAGUGGUCUGAAGAAAGAUUUUGAUCAGUGGGACGCUCUUGUAGAUGGCGAAGGACAUAAUGUCAUUCCUGGAACCAACACUGAUCUACCCUCAACUCAGCCUGAAUCACUAGAAUGAAGAAACUGAUAAUACUGUGCCUUAGUAGUACUGCUGGUCAUCUACUUCCCACAGCUCCAGCAUUUUUCUUUCUCUUGGCAGUCUCGUUGCACAUUGAUAAAAGUGUUGCAGGGGGUUAAAUUCAUACCAGCCUAUAAACUUAUUCUUUAAAAUACUGUAAUAAACUUUUGCUUUCUACCCAUUAAAUAUUAAAUCAGCUA